CCUGCCCAUUGAUAAUUUAAAAGGCCGCGGUAAUAUGACCGUGCAAAGGUAGCAUAAUAAUUAGUCUUUUAAUUGAAGGCUUGUAUGAAUGGUUGGACAAAAGGAAUACUGUCUCUAUUGUAUUUAUUGAAAUUAACUUUUAAGUGAAAAGGCUUAAAUACUUCAGAGGGACGAUAAGACCCUAUAAAGCUUUAUAUAAAAUAUAAAUUUAAUUGAAUUUUUUUAUAUAAUAAUUAAAAUUAUAUUAUUUAUUUGGUUGGGGCGACAUAAGUAUAAUUAAUUUAACUGCUUUAUAAAUAUACACAGGAUAAGUGAAUAUUAUGUUAAAUGAUCCUUUAUUAUAAAGAUUUAAAGAUUAAGUUACUUUAGGGAUAACAGCGUUAUUUUCUUUGAGAGUUCAUAUCGAAAAGGAAGCUUGCGACCUCGAUGUUGAAUUAAAUUUUCUAUAUAAUGCAGCAGUUAUAUAAGAAGGUCUGUUCGACCUUUAAAUUUUUACGUGAUCUGAGUU
rnacentral:rRNA from 1 species